CUAUGGUUCUUUGGAUGGUACACACAGUUACUUGGAUAACUGUGGUAAUUCUAGAGCUAAUACAUGCACAUUGGAACUCUACCUCAUUUACUGGAGUAGGUGCUUUUAUUAGAUCAAAACCAAUCAGGCUUAACGGCCUGUUUGUCUUGGUGACUCUGAAUAACUUUCCGCUGAUCGCAUGGUCUUGUACCGGCGACGCAUCUUUCAAAUGUCUGACUUAUCAACUUUCGAUGGUAGGCUCUGCGCCUACUAUGGUUGUAACGGGUAACGGGGAAUCAGGGUUCGAUUCCGGAGAGGGAGCCUGAGAAACGGCUACCACAUCCAAGGAAGGCAGCAGGCGCGCAAAUUACCCACUCCCAGAUCGGGGAGGUAGUGACGAAAAAUAACGAUGCAGAACUCAUUCCGAGGCUCUGCAAUCGGAAUGAGUACACUCUAAAUCAUUUAACGAGUAUCCAUUGGAGGAAAAGUCUGGUGCCAGCACCCGCGGUAAUUCCAGCUCCAAUAGCGUAUAUUAAAGUUGUUGCGGUUAAAAAGCUCGUAGUUGGAUCUGUGUUCCACGCUGUCGGUUCACUGUUUUGACGGUGUUUAACUGACAUGCUCGUGGUACGUCCUGCCGGUUGGCGAUGAGGGCGCGAUCGUCGGCUCCGCCGUAUGGUCGUUGCUUGCGUCUGCCAGUUCCAAUCCUGUCGCGGUGCUCUUCACCGAGUGUCGAGGCGGGCCGGCAACGUUUACCUUGAACAAAUUUGAGUGCUUAAAGCAGGCUAUAAUCGCCGGAAAACUGUGUGCAUGGAAUAAUAUAAUAGGACCGCGGUUCUAUUUUGUUGGUUUUCAGAGUCAGAGGUAAUGAUUAAUAGGGACAGGCGGGGGCAUUAGUAUUGCGACGUUAGAGGUGAUAUUCUUGGAUCGUCGCAAGACUAACCUAAGCGAAAGCAUUUGCCAAGGAUGCUUCCAUUAAUCAAGAACGAAAGUUAGAGGUUCGAAGGCGAUCAGAUACCGCCCUAGUUCUAACCAUAAACGAUGCCAGCCAGCGAUCCGUCGACGUUCCUCCGAUGACUCGACGGGCAGCUUCCGGGAAACUAAAGCAUUUGGGUUCCGGGGGAAGUAUGGUUGCAAAGCUGAAACUUAAAGGAAUUGACGGAAAGGCACCACCAGGAGUGGAGCCUGCGGCUUAAUUUGACUCAACACGGGAAAUCUCACCAGGCCAGAACACCAGUUGGAUUGACAGAUUGAGAGCUCUUUCUUGAUUUGGUGGGUGGUGGUGCAUGGCCGUUCUUAGUUG
rnacentral:rRNA from 1 species